rnacentral:lncRNA from 10 species
CCACAGACACCCAGGGCAAUGUGAUUUGUCACUUAAAGAGGACGGCAGAUCAAGAGCAUCUCAUCCUCCGGCUGCUGAGUCAUCCUGCUCUGGCAGUUAUUUAAACAGAAGGCUCCAGGAGACAUACAAUCAACACUCCACUCAGACAAUGCCCAGACCUCCAGAAACCAUGUGUCAAGCUCGGAUUGCCUUAGACAGAAGCUCACCCAGCUGGAACUCUUAUGGGACCUUGGCACCAGAGACCACAAAUUCCUCUUUGAAGUUUUCUAACAGCAACAAUGGAGUUUGUCUAGCAGAGGAGUCUGUCAUGUAAUCAGGAAACUCCAGUACACAACGUGAUAGCUCUAAGACAGGUAUAUACAAGAUGAUGUUCUGGACCUUAACUGUUUGGGGAGUACUACUGCCUUUGUCUAAAAGCCAUCACCCUUUUUAUAUGCCAUUUGGGAGGAACUGGGGGGACGUGGGAGGCUUCAAAGGGUUAUGGGAGGAUGGACAUUUUAAAAGGGCUUUUCUUUUCUUUUUUUUUUUUUGAGACAGAGUUUCGCUCUGUCGCCCAGGCUGGAGUGCAGUGGCGCGCGAUCUCGGUUCACUGCAAGCUCCACCUCCCGGGUUCACGCCAUUCUCCUGCCUCAGCCUCCUGAGUAGCUGGGACUACAGGCGCCCGCCACCACACCCAGGAAUCCAACUUGCUGUUUGCUAUCACAUGUGCUAUACAUGCUGUUGAUGAAACUGCUAAAGGGGCUGAAUGUGACUGACGUCUUUGGAAGGAUGAGACUUAGCGUGCCUGUACAGUUGUGUCCAAAUGCUGUCCUCAUCUCCCAAUGAAAAGGGUUUUUCCUUAAGCCUCACAACAAUUUACAGCAUUGCCAGCAGCAUUCAGUACAUUCAGAACAGGAUAAUUUCACCCGCAGCUGAACUAGGGCCAUGCCUGGGACAGACAGAGAAUGGCCUUCCAGCAGACAUGCCAAGAAGCAAGCCAGGGUCAGUGAGUGAAGAGGAGGGCAGGCCCAUUUGAAGCAACACAGUUUAUGUAAGUGUGAUCUAACUGCUUUCACUGGAAAUGGGUCAGACUCCAGUUGAGAGAACCAGGGGCCUGAAUGACCCCAGCAAAAUCACUGUGGCAAUUCUUUCAAUCACCUCUGAGAAUAUGGCCCUGUGACGACAUAAUGACGUUUGGAUUAAUUCCAGUCGGCUGUGUUUUCCCCUCCUUUCUUGCCUCCCCGUAGUUGAUUUGCCAAAUUUUUUUUGUUUGCUUAAAUACGCGGAACUAAACAGGAUACAUUAUAUGACAGUCUGUGAUAAAUUUACCACUGGGAAUAGGGAAAAAGUAUGGGAUAAAGAAAUAGGUAUUUUUCGCCUCUCACAGCUGUGAUUCAGUUCUGACUCAAAAGGAAGUGUGCCACCUACUGAAUCACAGAAACCACUUCCUGUGGCUGUUUGGUUUAUUCUGGAGGAGCAUCAGGCCAAGUGCUGCCCUGCCCUGACCCUGACUGGCUCUUCAGAGCCAAGGCAUUCACAGCUUGAGGUGGUUUGGCCUCAGACUCUUGAGAACAUUGCAUAUUAAAUUACAAGUGUUUCGUUUCCUAGCAAGGAGUCUUUAGCAACAUGAAAACGAACGUGUGUUAUUUGCAAACCAAGUAUAUCAUUACUGAACCUGAAUAUCCUUACUUUUUCAUAAGGUACGUAUUCCGGAUGACCACUCUUAAGAUCUGAAUGUACACUGGUUCUGUUUUUCCUGAGGGGAACUUGGGCAGUCUGCAGGGUGGCAUUUACCAGCUGAGGGACUUCAAGAGCACCCUUUAAUCAGUGUGGCAGCACUCAACUUGUAUUCACUCACUCAGAGUAUUUUUGAGCAUGUACUUAUUGCCAUGUGCUGUGCUAGGUAGGGGUAGAGGGUACAGUGGUGAACAAGACCCCACAGCUCCUGACCUCAUGGCUCAUGUGUUCUACACCAUAAGGGAAUCAAGCUGUGUCUCCCGGGGCAGGGGCCUUCCUCUGUUCACCAUGCAGCCCCAGCAUCUAGCACCUGGCGUUGCAUAAAGGAGGCUCUAAAUCAAGCUUGUCCAACCCAAGGCCCACGGGCCACAUGUGGCCCAGGAUGGCUUUGAAUGCAGCCAAACACAAAUUUGUAAACUUUCUUAAAACAUUAUAAGAUUUGUGUGUAUGUGUUUUAGUCCAUCAGCUAUUGUUAGUGUUCAUGUAUUUUAUGUGUGGCCCAAGACAAUUCUUCUAUGUGGCCCAAGGAAACCAAAGAUUGAACACUCCUGCUCUAAAUACUUGUUUGUUGAAUAGAUACAUGAAAAGAAAGAAGGAGAGAAGGAAGAAAGGAGGGCGGAAGGAAAGGAAGAAGGGAGAGAAGAAGAGAAGAAAGAAGCAGAGAAAGGAAGAGAAAAGAAAUUACGGCCAGUGCGGUGGCUCACGCCUGUAAUCCUAGCACUUUGGGAGGCCUAAGCGGGCUGAUCACCUGAGGUCAGGAGUUCGUAAGCCAGCCUGGCCAACAUGGUGAAACCCUAUCUCUACUAAAAAUACAAAAAUCAGCAGGGCAUGGUGGUGCGUGCCUGUAAUCCCAGCUACCUGGGAGGCUGAGGUAGGAGAAUCGCUGGAACCCGAGAGGCGGAGGCUGCAGUGAGUUGAGAUCAUGUCACUGCACUCCAGGCUGGGCAACAGAGUGAGACUCUGUCUCAGAAAAAAAAAAAAAGAAAGAAAGAAAGAAAGAAAGUUACCAUUAGUUUUUUGUUGUAUUUGCAAGCAAAGACAAAAGCACCAAGGUACUUGUUUCCUUCUGUAAUUAGAGUUUCAAAUAGACUAAAAGUUUCUGCUCUUAGGUGGGUCUAGAGACUCUCCAGUACCUCAGGACCUCAGGACACAUGGGGUCUCUUGGUUGUUUUCUUUUCAUUGUUGUUGUUUAUUUUAUUUUUGUUUUUAUUUUUUAACUUUAAAACAAUUUUUUGUAGAUGAAUAUGCUUACAUAUGUUUGGGGGUUUUUUUGAGACAGGGUCUUGCUCUGUUGCCCAGGCUGGAGAGCGGUGGUUUAACCACAGCUCACUGCAGCCUCGACCUCCCAAGGUAGGGACUGCAGGUGUGUACACUGGGGUGCACCACCACACCCAGCUAAUUUUUAAAUUUUUUUUUGUAGAUAUUGUCUCACUCUGUUGGCCAGACUGGUCUUGAAAUCCUGGGCUCGAGCAAUUCUCCUGCCUCGGCCUCGUAACGCGUUAGGAUUACAAGCGUGAACACCGCACCUGGCCAGCAUGUGGUCUCUUAACCAGAGGAGGCCUCUUCUGAACUAGGUAGAGGUCCUGAGAAUUGAUUCUGAGAGUAAAAGGCUCUUUGUUCUCCUCAGAGUAGAUUAGAAUCCCUAAUGAUAGAGCAUCUAUUAUUCCUCUAGUGGUCCAUGCCCAACAGAUUCAUCCAAGAAUAGAUGAAGAUCUUUGUAAUGUUGUGCAAGUAAUCUAAUCACCCCACAGAAGAGCUGUGACUUAAAUUAUCCCAGAGUCGGCCCACCUGUUUUCAUAAAGAUCAAUGUAACUUGUAAAUUUCUUCAGUUCUCCUCACCUAUCAUCAUUUGACUAACAAAACCCAGAAAACUAGGCUAGUUAUGGUGGCCUAUGCAUAUAAUCCCAACUCUUUGAGAGGCCAGGGUGGGUGGAUUGCUUGAGUCCAGGAAUUCGAGACCAGCCUGGGCAACAAAGGGAGACCCUGCCUAUAUCCCAGCUAUGCAGGAGGCGAGGCCAGAGGAUUGCCUGAGCCUCAGAGGUUGAGGCUGUAGUGAGCCAUGAUUGCCCCACUACACUCCAGCCUGGAUGACAGAGUGAGACCCUGCCUUAAAAAUAAUAAUAAUAGUAAUAAUAUUUCAUAAAGAUACAGGAAACUAGAUUAUAAUUGACAUUUUCAAAGUGAAAUACUGUCUAGAAUGGUGCUUGGCCAACAGUAAGCUUUUUGUAAGUGGAAGUCAUUACUACUACUAUUUCUUUCAUUAUUAUUACCAUUACUACUUUUUUUUACAAAAAAAAAACCCUGGACAACACACUGAAACCAUUACUACUUCUACUACUAUAACUUAGGUUGCACCUGAUAGAGCCAGCAAUUUUUCCAAGGUAUGACAAUGGCCAUAUGUUUAAUGAUAUAAUUCUAUGGCUCAGUGUAUCUCAGCCUUUUUAAACCCUGCUCUUCUUUUGACAAUUGUAAAAAUCUUAAACUGACCUCCAGUUGAAAUCCUCUGUCAAGAAGAUAUUGUCGGCCAGGGGCGGUGGCUCACACCUGUAAUCCCAGCACUUUUGGAGGCCGAGGUGGGAGGAUCACUUGAGGUUAGGAGUUCAAGACCAGCCUGGCCAACAUAGUGAAACCCCAUCUCUACUAAAAAUACAAAAAUUAGGCAGGCAUGGUGGUGUGUGCCUGUAAUCCCAGCUACUCAGGAGGCUGAGGUAGGAGAAUUGCUUGAACCUGGCAGGGCAGAGGUUGCAGCAAGCCGAGAUCACGCCACUGCUCUCCAGCCUGGGUGAGACUGUCUCAAAAAAAAAAAAAAAAAAGAAAGAAAGUAAGAAAAAGAAGAAAUCCCAAUCUCUUCUUUUAUGUGGAUUCUUCCUCACUUGAAUAAUACUUUUCUUCCCCAGUAUUCUCCAUAUUAUCCCAGAGUCAGCCCCUCUGUUUUUGUAAAGAUCUACGUAACCUCCUCUAAGUUUCCCAGUUCUCCUCACCUAUCAUAUCAUUUGGCUCAACAAAGGGCAGGAAGCUAGAUUCUAAUUGAUAUUUUGAGGCCGGGAGCAGUGGCUCAUGCCUGUAAUCACAGCACUUUGGGAGGCUGAGGCGGGCAGAUCACUGGAGGUCAGGAGUUCGAGACCAGCCUGGCCAAUAUGGUGAAACCUCGUCUCUACUAAAAAUACAAAAAAUUAGCCAGGCUUGGUGGCUUGUACCUGUAAUCCCAGCUACUCAGGAGGCUGAGGCAGGAGAAUAGCUUAAACCUGGGAGGAAGAGGUUGCAGUGAGCCGAGAUUGCUCAAUUGCACCCCAGCCUGGGUGACAGAGCAAAACUCCAUCUCAAAAACAAACAAACGAACAAACCUGAUAUUUUCAAAAUUGAGGCAAUUAUAACAGCUAUUUAGCCAAGCAUUAUGAUAGCAAUAAUAGCAAGAAAAUAAAUUAGUUAACAAAUGAGUCUCAGAAGCCCAAUGAUUUUUAUUUUAUUUUUAUUUUUUGAACUUUUAUUUUAGAAUCAGGGGAUACAUGUGCAGGUUUGUUACCCGGGUAUAUUGCAUGAUGCUGAGUUUUGGAGUAUGCAUGAAUCCAACCUGUCAUCCAGGUAGUGAGUAUAGUACCCAACAGAUAGUUUUUUUAACAUUUACUUCACUCCCUUCCCCAAUCUUGUAUUCCCCUGUGUCUACUGUUCCCAUUUUUAUGACUGUGCCAACAAUAAUUUUUUUUCUUUUUUCUUUAAAUAGAGAUGGGGGUCUCUAUUUAAAGAGCCUCCCAAAGUGCUAGGAUUACAGGUGUGAUCCAUUGCACCUGGCCCAUGCCAACAAUAUUUGAAACCCUUAUCUGCGUGUACAAGUUUGCUACUGGUUUUGUUUUGCUCAUUAAUACAUCCCAAGCAUCUAUACCUGGCUUGUAGUACCAGCAUGUAGUAGGUGCUUAAUAAAUAUUUAUUGAAUAAAUAAAUUAGUUUGACAUUAGUUUAACAUCUCAAGUAAAACAAAAUACCAUUCAAUUAAUUCUCUUCUUCUACUUUUUUCUUUUAAGAGAGACAAAUAGUCACACAUACAUCAGCAGGAGAGGAUACAAUUUCCUGUGUUUAAGUUUUUAUGAGUUACUUUAGUUCAAAUGUCACAGAAAAUUAUAUUGAACUCUUGACCAAUCUAUCUAUUUUUUCCAUUGGAGUAUUGACCCAAAUAAGAAAUAGCAUAAAGGAAAAAUUAUUUUUUGGCAGAAAAAUAUUCUCUCUAAAUUCUUGUGUGUUUUGUUUUGAUUUUUUCCUUAGUGACUGGAGGCCAGUUUCAAUCCACUGAAGCACAGAUUCCAAAUUUUCAAUCUGGUUUUCUUGAGUAGUGACUGAGUGCCAAAAAUGAAGCAAUGACACAACAUCACCAUCAAGACACUCCCCAGCACGCACACACAUGCCAGAGUCCAACACCAAGAUACUCCCCAGCACGCACACACACGCCAGAGUCCAGGCCAUAUUCGGGUGGCUUGCAAGCUUCUUCCCCCCAAGUAUUUACUCUCAAAAUAAUGGUUUUUGUUUUGUUUUGGUUUGGUUUGGUUUGUUUUUUUCCAAAUACAUUUCUUCCCUAUAUCUUUAACCAAUUCUCAUAAAAUUUUGUCUAAUACACUGGUCAGUGUAUUCCAGACCCUAAAAGAUAACAUAAUGAAACUAUCUAUGACUAAAAGGUAAUCAGGAUCUUCUACUUAUCCUUUUUUCCUCCCUCUUAAACUUUAAUUUUGAUACAUUUGGGAGUGAAAUGAUGACAAUAAAUGCAAAGUAAUUAUUGAAGAAACAGUAAUUUUGUAUUAGCUUACUGAAAAAAAAAAAAAAGAUAACCAAAUAUAUUUUGGCAGCCCCAAACGAGUCACAUGUGAAAUGCAGUGGGAGAGCAGUGUCCUGAAGGAAAAGGUGGCCUGCUGGACAGCCAAGAGAACAAACAUCCACUGCAAGUAAUAUGAGCUCUAAGUUUGGACUAGGCCUAUGUCUGCUCUGAGACUUGGGGCAAUUCACUUAAUCAGAGCCUUAAUCAGCUACGGACUAGCAAUAUCCAUACCCGCUACUUAUUUUGUAAAUCUCCUUUCUAAAGUUAACUCUAUUUAUUGUUCCAUAAUCCCAUAAAUUCUAGAAUCUUUUCCUGUUAUAGCCAAGUUGUCUAUCAUUGACAGAGAUAUUCACCUGGUUGUUUUGGCUUCUCUAAUCCUCCUGGUGAGAACACCUCCAAGGGAGCUUUCAGUGGCAUUUAAGGUCACUUGUGCUCUUGGUCCUAGAAACUGCCUUGAUAGUGGUUUUAGCUCACAUGAGGUAAGUCUUUAUUAUAUGCCCAACCUCUUUAUGCAUUACUUCAUUUAAUUGUAUACUAAUCCUUUGUCAUAGGUUAUCAGAGUGUUUGAUUAUAAGUUACAGGAAGAAAAAAAAAAACAAACUCCAAUUGACUAAAACAAUGGGGCAUUUUUUGACUCACAUAACAGAGAGUCUAGAGAGAAGGCACCUUCAGGUUUGGCUGAUGAAUCCUGUAUCUCUGCCUUGUCUCCAGGCCCCCAGGUUCUGCCUCUGUCCUGACAUCCAGUGUUGGAUUCCUCUUCACAUCAACUCCUCUCUGUAGGUUGGGCCAUCAGACCCUACCUCCUUAUUUAUGUUGAGCAAAGGAGAGAGAAUGCCUCUACAAACAAUGAAAAAAGUGAAAAAAAAAAUCUUUCUCCUCCUUAUAACUUUAGUUAGCUUAACUUUAGUCAGUUGCUUAGCUACUAAACAGUAGCUAUUGGGAGGUGGGAAGGAAUACUAUUGUGUAAUCAACUAAGGCUCAUACAGAGGAUUAGGGUUAUCUGAAUUGAUUUGAAUUAAUUAGAAUUUACUCUCAGAGCUGUGGCAAUUCCUUGAACCACACUGAUUGCUAUAAAGUGGAAGAGGAAUAGAUUGAAUUUUGGGGAGUCAACUACAAUGUGUACUACAGGAACAAAACCCAUCAGAAGAUGUCAGAAGAUAAGGAUUUUUGUCCUGAUGCUACACUUACCAGCUGUCCCUCAGUGUUCUACUUCUUAAAAAAAGAGAGAUGGAUAAACAGAGGCAACCCGAGGAUAAAGGCCUUGCUCAGUGUCACACAUUUCAGUCACUAAAUAAGACACAAUGGAUGCCAGUAUUCUCAUCCCCUCACAAAUAAAGAGCCUUCAAGCUCUUGCAGUCAACAAGAACUUUUGGAAUGAUUUCACUGCCUGAAAAGGCAGAUACAUAGGUGACACCCACAAAUAGGAAGAAAAUCAACCUGAACCUGAGUGUGUGGGCUCACUGACUCUAAGCAGUAGAGACAGAAGAAAAAGUUUUAGCAAAGAAGGGUUCUGAAAGAAAAUAAAUAUAGCUCGUUAUCAAGUGCUGUUUUUACACAGUAAAACAUGGGCAAAAUUACUCUUCUUUAAGUAGUAAUUCUUAUCUCUUGAUUAAGUCACCUACUCAUUCAUUUAAUAAAUACAUACUGAUUGUUUUCUAUGUGUUGAGCACUCAUCUCUGUAUUGGAAAUAUAAUAAUGACCAAAGUUGACAAUAGUAAUAACAAUAAUAGCUAAUAUAGCAGGCACUAAUAAUUAUUUGUUGAGUAAUAUGUCAAAAUUCAGUGUGAACAGCAUUCUAUUUGGGGCUGCAUCCACUGACUAUAACACAGCUAAUCUAUCUGAAAUGUUCCAGCUUUGGGCCUCUCUAACAGAAGAAGCUGUUGUUGGGCCUGCCUCUAGUUGGCGAUGCAUCCACCAAUGAGAAUGAAUUUAUGAUCGACCACUCUUCCUGUAAAGGCCGCUGGAACUGACAGCAUUGUGAUUUUCUUUUACUGUUAGUUUUAAAUUACUAGAACCAACUCAAUUACUAGAACGAACUUUACUUCUUUGUUUCCUACUUAUCAAAACAGUAAAAACAACAAGUAAAAGAAAUGCCAUCUUAAUAUUGUUUUGAUGACAAAACAGUAUUCCUUUUAGUUGUGCUUCAAAUGGAAUAAGAUGCAAACAGGCUUGGUAUGGUGGCUCACCCCUGUAAUCCCAGCCCUUUGGGAGGCCAAGGUGGAAGGAUUGCUUGAGGCCAUGAGUUUGAGACCAGCCUGCGCAACAUAGCAAGACCGUGUCUCUACAAAAAAUAAAAAAUUAGCUGAGUGUAGUGGUGUGUGCUUGUGGUCCCAGCUACUUUUGAGGCUGAGGAGGGAGAAUCUCUUGAGCCCAGAAGGUCGAAGUUGCAGUGAGCCGUGAUCGUGCCAUUGCUCUCCAGCUUGGACAACAAAGCAAGACCCUAUGUCAAAAAAUAAAUAAAUAAAAGACAUAAACAUAUCUGAGAUUAACUUUCAGUGGUAAAUUUGUUCCAUAUAUGAUUUUUAAGGUUAAAUGCUUUGGAAGCUUUAAAAACCAUUUCAGCCCUUUUAAAUGCCAACUUACACUGAUGAUGCUCUCAGAUGUUAGGAAAUCUUUUGAGCAGAAAAUGGAAGUGGGGGUGUUGAGGCAGGGAGGAGAGUGAUGCAAUAUUCCUUAGUGUCAUCCUGUGAUUUCACAAUUUGUUUUUCAAUCUGUUUGGACUUUCAAAAGGGAAGACUCUCAUAUGUCAACAAGCCCAUGAACUGAAGCUUAAAACACUGGAAACAACAACUGUAGAGUUUCAAGUAUAUGUACAUUUAUGUAUUCAUGUUCCUUGAUGGGAAUGCUGGCUGGUGUGAAUGUUCAAUCUCCUGAGAAAUGUAAAUUUUUCUCUGACAGAUUUAUUAGCUUGCUGUAUCUGAGCACAUGAGCAAAAACAAUGCCUAAUAAGAAAACUUUCUCUCUCCUUCAAAGUCAAACUUGGGAGAAAUGAAGGGAAAUCGAGUUUUCUUUGCUUGACAGUGUUCAACAUUCUUGUAGUCAGUGUGCUCAUGAAGAUUGCAAACUUU